rnacentral:rRNA from 1 species
GACCGGCGCACGGGUGAGUAACACGUAUCCAACCUGCCGAUGACUCGGGGAUAGCCUUUCGAAAGAAAGAUUAAUACCCGAUGGCAUAGUUCUUCCGCAUGGUAGAACUAUUAAAGGAUUUCGGUCAUCGAUGGGGAUGCGUUCCAUUAGGUUGUUGGCGGGGUAACGGCCCACCAAGCCUUCGAUGGAUAGGGGUUCUGAGAGGAAGGUCCCCCACAUUGGAACUGAGACACGGUCCAAACUCCUACGGGAGGCAGCAUG